CCUACGGGGGGCAGCAGUGAGGAAUAUUGGUCAAUGGACGGAAGUCUGAACCAGCCAUGCCGCGUGCAGGAUGACGGCUCUAUGAGUUGUAAACUGCUUUUGUAUUAGGGUAAACACCCCUACGUGUAGGGGCUUGAAAGUAUAAUACGAAUAAGGAUCGGCUAACUCCGUGCCAGCAGCCGCGGUAAUACGGAGGAUGCGAGCGUUAUCCGGAUUUAUUGGGUUUAAAGGGUGCGUAGGCGGGAUGCCAAGUCAGCGGUAAAAAUGCGGUGCUCAACGCCGUCGAGCCGUUGAAACUGGCGUUCUUGAGUGGGCGAGAAGUAUGCGGAAUGCGUGGUGUAGCGGUGAAAUGCAUAGAUAUCACGCAGAACUCCGAUUGCGAAGGCAGCAUACCGGCGCCCUACUGACGCUGAGGCACGAAAGCGUGGGUAUCGAACAGGAUUAGAUACCCUGGUAGUC
rnacentral:rRNA from 1 species